rnacentral:rRNA from 1 species
UACGUAGGGGGCUAGCGUUGUCCGGAUUUAUUGGGCGUAAAGAGCGUGUAGGCGGCCAUGUAGGUCCGGUGUGAAAACUCGAGGCUUAACCUCGAGAUGUCAUCGGAAACCAUUUGGCUAGAGUCCGGAAGAGGAGAGUGGAAUUCCUGGUGUAGCGGUGAAAUGCGUAGAUAUCAGGAGGAAUACCGAUGGCGAAGGCAGGUCUCUGGGCUGACACUGACGCUCAUGCACGAAAGCGUGGGGAGCAAACAGG